AAUUCAAUGGAAAAAAUAGCCUCAAAGAUGGGAUUAACCAAAAAAUGUGCCGCCGCCGCCCCCCCCCCCCCCCCCCCCCUUGCUUUGGGGACCUCCAGGCCUUGCACUCAGCACAGUGGUGUGUGGUUAGGAAUUCCUGACCCAGCGCUGCAAUUUAAGCCACAGCUGAUGUCACAGCUCACUGGCUCGCUGCAGUCCAGCAUUCUUUGGGCAGUCAAAGAAAUACCGCAUUGUGUUUUUUAGUGUGUUGCAUCAGUUUUUUCCCUAUGGAAAAUGUAAAAUCUAACCACAAUUAGUGUACCUCUGUUUGACAUCUGUAAGAGAAUCAGAAUUUCAACAAUAACUUCCAAAAAUGGGUAGGAGCGGCUGCAAACAAAAAUUAGACAUAGUUGUGUGUGUAAAGCGCCUGUGGUACAAGCUCCUGUGACUGAAACAAGCCCUCACCCAGCAGGGACCAACCUAGACCAGGAACCACACAGUGGCCACCUCUCCAGCCCCCACACCUGGAAAAAAUGAGGAAGGACCAGGCUGACAAACCACCCUAUUUAUUCUUGAGCUCACACAGGCCCCAGCCUGCCUUCCCUAAUACAAACAGCCCCCCUUAUUCAUCCAGAGGAGAAAAUGGGGAUAUUGUUAUAUACUGAGGGGUCAGUGUUAGAUGCCAGGCAGACAACAGGCAGCAUCCUGAGGACGGGAUGGGUGCCAACCUUUCUAGUUGGAAUAGGCCCUGCCCACAGCAGUUCCCGGUAUGACAGUUUCCUGAGUAAGGAGGUGGGAAACAGCCCGGACUGGGCUGAGGAGAGCCCAAGGUUCCCUGGUUUGAUAAGCAACACUCCCUGAAUGGCUCUGGCCAAGAGCGCAGUGUAGAAAAAGGAGUUAAAAAAUAGAUUCUUUAGGGACUAUAAAAUAUCUAGGAACCAGCUGCUUACUACAAAAGCUAGACUGGAGGGGUUUUAUCUGAAGUGCUGGGAACUCUCAACUCCCCUCAGGGCCCACAGACCCAACCUGUUCCUACAGGAGUAUCCGUGUAGAACAGAGGCUCUGCCUUCAUGCAGCUCACACACUGGUGGUAAGAGCUAUAACAAAACAAAAAAAAAUAGCCCUGGCAGGCUUGGCUCUGGAUAGAGGCUUGGCCUGUGGACUAAAGGGUCUGGGUUCGAUUCCAGUCAAGGGCACAAGUCCAGGCUUCCAGCUCGAUCCCUCAUAGAGUGUGUAGGAGGCAACUGAUCAAUGAUUCUCUCAUCAUUGAUGUUUCUCUCUCCCUCUUCCUUCCUCUCUGAAAUCAAUAAAAAUAUAUUUUUAAAGAAAAAAGAAAUGCAAUGGUAAUGGCAGGGGUAGGGAGGAAUUACUUCAGGUAGUAAGAGGCCUUUCUGAGGUGAAAUUUGAGCAAAGACCCGAGUGACAAGGAACCCGUCAUGUGACACCUGGGGAAGAGCAUUCUAGACAGAGGGAGCAGCCAGUGUAAAGGCCUUGAGGCAGCACAUUAUCAAGAAAAGGUUAAGGGAGGUGUGGGUUUUCCAGGACAGCACAGUCUGGCUGCCAGCAUCUCCCGUGCCCUACUCACACUGCCUUGAGUUAAAGGUUGAGGGAAGGACAGAGUUAGCAGGGAAAUGUCUAGGAUUUGUCUUCAAAGUAAUUAAUGCAAAACAGCAUGAAGCUUGAAGCUCUUAAUUCUAGUCUGGGGGCAAUAUGGCUCAACUAGAGCCUUGUCCCAUGCACCAAAAGUUGCAGGCUUAAUUCCCCUCAGCACAGACCGAGGUUGUGGGUUCAAUCCCAUCAGAGUGCAUACGGGAAAACCAAUGGAUGUUUUUCUCUCACAUCAAUAUUUCACUGUCUCCCUUCCUCUAGAACAUCAAUAGGUAUGUCCUUGGGUUGGGAAAUAAUAAAAAUAAUUCUGGUUUGGGAUGGAGUAAGAAAAAGCUCUAUCGUGUGAUAAGUGAUGCUUCAGGAUGAA